rnacentral:rRNA from 1 species
UACGGGGGGGGCAAGCGUUGUUCGGAAUUACUGGGCGUAAAGGGCGCGUAGGCGGUUCGCUAAGUUGAAUGUGAAAACUCUGGGCUUAACCCAGAGCCUGCAUCCAAAACUGGCGAGCUGGAGUACUGGAGGGGAAAGCGGAAUUCCUGGUGUAGCGGUGAAAUGCGUAGAUAUCAGGAGGAACACCGGUGGCGAAGGCGGCUUUCUGGACAGUAACUGACGCUGAGGCGCGAAAGCGUGGGGAGCAAACGGG